AGAGUUUGAUUAUGGCUCAGGAUGAACGCUGGCGGCGUGCAUAACACAUGCAAGUCGAACGGGCCUAUCUGAGAAGCUUGCUUUUAGAUAGGUAGUGGCGGACGGGUGAGUAACGCGUGGGUAACCUACCCUGUACAGGGGGGAUAGCAGCUGGAAACGGCUGAUAAAACCGCAUAAAACGGCAUCGCCGCAUGGCGAAACCGUCAAAUAUUUAUAGGUACAGGAUGGGCCCGCGUCUGAUUAGCUAGUUGGCGGGGCAACGGCCUACCAAGGCGACGAUCAGUAGCCGGCCUGAGAGGGUGAACGGCCACAUUGGGACUGAGACACGGCCCAAACUCCUACGGGAGGCAGCAGUGGGGAAUAUUGGACAAUGGGGGGAACCCUGAUCCAGCGAACCGCCGCGUGAGUGAAGAAGUAUUUCGGUAUGUAAAGCUCUAUCAGCAGGGAAGAUGAUGACGGUACCUGAGUAAGAAGCACCGGCUAAAUACGUGCCAGCCGCCGC
rnacentral:rRNA from 1 species